GUCCUGGGGGUGCAAACGAUUAACAUGCUCAGCUAAAAACUGAUAGGUUGGUGGUUCGAGUCCACCCAGAGGCA
rnacentral:tRNA from 1 species